rnacentral:rRNA from 1 species
UACGUAGGCAGCGAGCGUUGUUCGGAGUUACUGGGCGUAAAGGGCGCGUAGGCGGAUGGCUUUGUCGGGCGUGAAAUUCCAGGGCUUAACCUUGGGGCUGCGUUCGAGACGGGUUGUCUUGAGUGGGGAAGAGGGUCGUGGAAUUCCCAGUGUAGAGGUGAAAUUCGUAGAUAUUGGGAAGAACACCGGUGGCGAAGGCGGCGACCUGGUCCUUUACUGACGCUGAGGCGCGAAAGCGUGGGGAGCAAACAGG